rnacentral:rRNA from 1 species
GGUGCAUGCUGUCGUCAGCUCGUGUCGUGAGAUGUUGGGUUAAGUCCCGCAACGAGCGCAACCCUUAUCCUAUGUUGCCAGCGCGUAAUGGCGGGGACUCGUGGGAGACUGCCGGGGUCAACUCGGAGGAAGGUGGGGACGACGUCAAGUCAUCAUGCCCCUUAUGUCCAGGGCUGCAAACAUGCUACAAUGGCUGGUACAAAGGGCUGCGAAACCGCGAGGUCGAGCGAAUCCCAUAAAGCCAGUCUCAGUUCGGAUCGGAGUCUGCAACUCGACUCCGUGAAGCUGGAGUUGCUAGUAAUCCCGGAUCAGCAUCGCCGGGGUGAAUACGUUCCCGGGCCUUGUACACACCGCCCGUCACACCACGAAAGUCGGUAACACCCGAAGCCAGUGGCCUAACCCUUUGGGAAGGAGCUGUCGAAGGUGGGAUCGGCGAUUGGGGUGAAGUCGUAAAAGGUAGC